CAGCGUUUCCCAGCUGGGUCAGAAGUAACGCAUCCCUAAGCUGCUCCAAGUAACAAUCCUGUUAGUGGACUGGAAAGCCGCUUGUUCUCAGACCAUUGAUUUCAAAGCUAGAAAACAGCAGGCACUGUGUUGGGAGUAAGGAAUGUGGAGUCAUCUCUUCCCUCAGAGAAACACUGACAAGUGUUAGCUCACAGACUUGUGUGCACAAAGAUGGAUCCUUGCAGUUGUCCACUGGAGCACUGUUUGAAGCAGCAAAAGGAACCAAGUCAACUUUCCCUGCGUAUGAAAAUGGCUAAAUAAAUGGUAAUUUAUUCAUAGAAAAGAAUAUAAUACAGCUAUUAAAAUCAUGAAAAAAGGUACAUGUUACACCAUGAGUAAAUCUCAAAAACAUCAGUUUAAAAAAAAAAAAGCAAGUAAAAGCAAGUAGCAAAAGUAUCCACACAGCCUGAUGCCAUUUACGUAGACCUUAAAGAUC
rnacentral:lncRNA from 1 species